rnacentral:rRNA from 1 species
CUGGUUGAUCCUGCCAGUUGCAUGUGCUUGUCUUAAAGAUUAAGCCAUGCAUGUCUAAGUAAAAGUAGUAUACAGCGAAACUGCGAAUGGCUCAUUAAAACAGUUAUAGUUUAUUCGAUAGUAAAACUACAUGGAUAACCGUGGUAAUUCUAGGGCUAAUACAUGCGCAAAUACUCGACUUCGAAGAGCUGUAUUUAUUAGAUCUAACCAUCAUUUGGUGAAUCAUAGUAACUGAUCGGACCUUGCGCUUGCGAGGCAAAUCGUUCAAGUUUCUGCCCUAUCAGCUUUCGAUGGUAGUGUAUUGGACUACCACGGCAGUCACGGGUAACGGGGAAUUAGAGUUCGAUUCCGGAGAGGGAGCCUGAGAAACGGCUACCACAUCUAAGGAAGGCAGCAGGCGCGUAAAUUACCCAAUCCCGACUCGGGGAGGUAGUGACAAGAAAUAACAACUCGAGAAGAUUUCCUCUACGAGAUUGCAAUGAGAACAAUUUAAAUCACUUAUCGAGGAACAAUUGGAGGGCAAGUCUGGUA